UACAGAGGUCUCAAGCGUUGUUCGGAUUCAUUGGGCGUAAAGGGCGCGUAGGUGGCGCGGGCAGUCAACGGUGAAAGCUCGGGGCUCAACCCUGAAUCGGCCGUCGAUACUCCCGGGCUUGAGCACUGUAGAGGCAGGUGGAAUUCCGGGUGUAGCGGUGGAAUGCGUAGAGAUCCGGAAGAACACCGGUGGCGAAGGCGGUCUGCUGGGCAGUAGCUGACACUGAGGCGCGACAGCGUGGGGAGCAAACAGG
rnacentral:rRNA from 1 species